rnacentral:rRNA from 1 species
GAUGAACGCUGGCGGCGUGCUUAACACAUGCAAGUCGAGCGGAGCUCAAAUGCGGAUCCCCUUCGGGGGUGAAACAUCUGAGCUUAGCGGCGGACGGGUGCGUAACGCGUGGGUAAUCUGCCCUUGUCACCGGGAUAACACAUCGAAAGGUGUGCUAAUACCGGAUGAAAUACAGACCUGGCAUCGGGACUGUAUCAUAGUCAUGCGGACAAGGAUGAGCCUGCGUCUGAUUAGCUUGUUGGUGGGGUAAAAGCCUACCAAGGCGACGAUCAGUAGCCGACCUGAGAGGGUGAUCGGCCACACUGGAACUGAGACAUGGUCCAGACUCCUACGGGAGGCAGCAGUGGGGAAUAUUGCACAAUGGGCGCAAGCCUGAUGCAGCAACGCCGCGUGAGUGACGACGGCCUUCGGGUUGUAAACCUCUUUUAGCAGGGAAGAAGCGAAAGUGACGGUACCUGCAGAAAAAGCACCGGCUAACUACGUGCCAGCAGCCGCCGCGGUAA